rnacentral:misc_RNA from 1 species
CAAGAAAAGGGGCUUUAAGGAAAAAGAGCUUUAAAAAAGCUUUUCCGUAAGAUAAUGCCGGGGAAGGUUUUCCGGUUUAUCCCGGAGGGCUUGUAGCUCAGUUGGUUAGAGCGCGCGCUUGAUAAGCGUGAGGUCGGAGGUUCAAGUCCUCCCAGGCCCACCAUUUUGUAUCAAUCUAUAAGCGCUUGUAGAACUUUCUUCUAUAAGGCUUUCUUGUAUAUUUAUAUGAAGCUUAUCUACGAAGAAGUUUCCUUAUCAAAAUGUGAAGUUUCUUUCCUUUGCUUAAGCAAUCGGGAGUUAAAGCGGUUCAAACGAACAGUGAUCCCAUAAAGGGUAAUGUUGAAUUGAAAAAUCUCAUUUACAAGUUUUGAACCUUUUCUCUUUAUUUAGGGGCCGUAGCUCAGCUGGGAGAGCACCUGCUUUGCAAGCAGGGGGCGGUCGGUUCA